UACGUAGGGUGCAAGCGUUAAUCGGAAUUACUGGGCGUAAAGCGUGCGCAGGCGGUUGUGCAAGACAGAUGUGAAAUCCCCGGGCUUAGCCUGGGAAUUGCAUUUGUGACUGCACGGCUAGAGUGUGUCAGAGGGGGGUAGAAUUCCACGUGUAGCAGUGAAAUGCGUAGAUAUGUGGAGGAAUACCGAUGGCGAAGGCAGCCCCCUGGGAUAACACUGACGCUCAUGCACGAAAGCGUGGGGAGCAAACAGG
rnacentral:rRNA from 1 species